ensembl:lncRNA
AUGUCUUUAAUUUUGCUCUCUCUCUCAGGGUGGUGCUCCCUCUCUCUCUGGUUGGUCUCUUGGUAUUCCCAUCGCUGGCUGACAGAAGUUCCUGUCCUGACCUGUUCCCGUGAGUUCCUGCCAUUGAUUCUCCCUGCCUGGUACUUGGUCCGUUUCAGAGUCUGCGGUCAACAAUUAUCUGAGCUCAGCUCUAUGGUGCCUUGCUCGGUCUUCUCCAUCUGCCUGGUCUUGCCGCUUCCUCUGCUGCUAUUCUGCCAUGUGAUGCCCAAGGCUGUCCCAGUGGCGUUCCCUAGCUGUCUCUCUCUGUUAACUGUGUUACUGCCAUUGAAUCACCUGCACACCUCACUGCCCUCUUGUAUCUUUCUGUUUUGUAAUAAACCCCUGUCACUUACUCUGUGAUUGGGUCCUUCUUCCAGAUCCCUGUCAAAUAAUAUGGAUCAUCCCUUCAUAUUAACACUGAAUGUACUGACAAGCAUUUAUGGUACACUAAAAUAUACUUUAAUGUAAUUUUAGUUGAAAGUUGUAUAUCAAGUUUUUAAACAUAUUUGUAAUGAUGAAGUUGCAAUUUAGUACAUUUACUAUAUAAUAAAAUUUUUAUGUUUAAUAUGUAAUAACAUACUACUUAAAAUUGUAAUAUAAACAACACAUUGAAAUAAACAUACUUUCAAAACAUACUUUUAUAACCAGACAAUGAUUUAAAAACAAACAGAAGAAUUUAAAAAUCAACCCUAAAUUUAACGGGAAGUUAAUGAAGGAAUGAUAAAACAGGGGAAAUGUGAUCCCUCUUUUUAGACCCAGUCAAAAGCCACAGCAUUUUGAACAGCUUGCAAUCGUGACAAUGAAGAUUGAGGAAGACCAGAGUAAAGACAGUUACAAUAUUCCAAUCGAGAUGUACUAAUUGCAUGAAUCACAACUUCCAUAUCCUUCCUUGAAAGAAGAUGCUUUAACUUUGCAAUGGAUCUCAGAUGCAAACAAACUUGCUCUAAUAACAGCACUAAUUUGUUUAUCAAAAAAUAGAGAAGAGUUAAAAAUCAAUCCAAGGUUUUUGAUUAAUUUGCAUACAUUUUAUAUUCAAUUUGCAUUUUAUCUGAUUCUACAUUUAUUUAUUGACUUCUUUAGUCAGAUUUUCAUUCUUUUUUGUUUCUCUCCCUUCACAGAUUGAAGACAAAAUGGAAAACCUCUUACUGCGGUAACUCAAACACAAGCUAGGGGGCAACAAUAACCACAGAACAGAUGGUCAGGAUGAGACAUGUCAACACAGGGAUAUGAAGACACACUUCCACCCUUUUGUAGCAGUCCCUAAAUGAGAAAUUACACACUCUGUGAUUUGAGUGAUGAGUAACUGAAGCAGAUGGCAGAAGAAUCUGGUCAGUACAUGUAAGAUGAAAUGUUUGCAUGGAUUUAACACAGUCAGUCAUAAUAUGCAGGGGAUUGGUGAAGAAAACUUUUUAUUAUUGUUGUAUGUUGCUGUACAGUAUAGUAGCCUACACAUUUUUCUGGUUUCUAGAUUCUAGAUUUUCUAGAUUCUAUUCGACUUAACUGUGAAUAAAUGAAUCAAUCAAUUAAUCAGGCAAUGCACAGCCAUUUUUUUAGCAUGUAUGAUUCCUGAUUUGCUGCCUGCCACUUCCGUUCUUGAUUUAUUAAGGACAUUUAACACACAAUCUGAUUGGUUACUCUAUAAAAAGCAAGCAAAGGCUCUGAAUCACCUGUUAGUACAGAUGGGCUCCAGCUGCUGUGGAGUUGCAGAAUGAAAUCUGGCUGUGGAUCUCUCCAUUGGGAUGACAGCCGUGGGAUUUUUCCAUAUGGGUGGUGAUUGCAUACAUGUAUACAUCUAAAGCAAACAUUUCUUUCUGAAAACAGAAAUGGCUGAUGAGAGUGAAUGAGAGUAUGCUUUAAAAUGGUGCAUUUAGAAAUUAGGGGUAAAAUGCAAUGGAAUUUUCCCGGAACUAUUGCAUAUAGUCUCCCUCUUCCCACUGCAGUAGGAGCAGCUGGUCAUCUUCAACAAAUGUUGCCCUGCUAUAAAUGGCAACCCAGACAGCUGAAUUAUGGGCCUAACCCACUUCUUUUUCUGCAAUAUAGUCUUUUUAUAAGACUGGCCCUCAUAGCCUUUAAGAGACUCUGGUUCACAAACAGCUUAUGGAGUACAGGUCCUUCUCAAAAAAUUAGCAUAUUGUGAAAAAGUUCAUUAUUUUCCAUAAUGUAAUGAUAAAAAUUAAACUUUCAUAUAUUUUAGAUUCAUUGCACACCAACUGAAAUAUUUCAGGUCUUUUAUUGUUUUAAUACUGAUGAUUUUGGCAUACAGCUCAUAAAAAAACCCAAAAUUCCUAUCUCAAAAAAAUUAGCAUAUUUCAUCCGACCAAUAAAAGAAAAGUGUUUUUUUAAUACAAAAAAAGUCAACCUUCAAAUAAUUAUGUUCAGUUAUGCACUCAGUACUUGGUCGGGAAUCCUUUUGCAGAAAUGACUGCUUCAAUGCGGCGUGGCAUGGAGGCAAUCAGCCUGUGGCACUGCUGAGGUGUUAUGGAGGCCCAGGAUGCUUCGAUAGCGGCCUUAGGCUCAUCCAGAGUGUUGGGUCUUGCGUCUCUCAACUUUCUCUUCACAAUAUCCCACAGAUUCUCUAUGGCGUUCAGGUCAGGAGAGUUGGCAGGCCAAUUGAGCACAGUAAUACCAUGGUCAGUAAACCAUUUACCAGUGGUUUUGGCACUGUGAGCAGGUGCCAGGUCGUGCUGAAAAAAACGAAAUCUUCAUCUCCAUAAAGCUUUUUCAGCAGAUGGAAGCAUGAAGUGCUCCAAAAAUCUCCUGAUAGCUAGCUGCAUUGACCCUGCCCUUGAUAAAACACAGUGGACCAACACCAGCAGCUGACAUGGCACCCCAGACCAUCACUGACUGUGGGUACUUGACACUGGACUUCAGGCAUUUUGGCAUUUCCUUCUCCCCAGUCUUCCUCCAGACUCUGGCACCUUGAUUUCCGAAUGACAUGCAAAAUUUGCUUUCAUCCGAAAAAAGUACCUUGGACCACUGAGCAACAGUCCAGUGCUGCUUCUCUGUAGCCCAGGUCAGGCGCUUCUGCCGCUGUUUCUGGUUCAAAAGCACACGCCUGUGCACGGUGGCUCUGGAUGUUUCUACUCCAGACUCAGUCCACUGCUUCCGCAGGUCCCCCAAGGUCUGGAAUCGGUCCUUCUCCACAAUCUUCCUCAGGGUCCGGUCACCUCUUCUCGUUGUGCAGCGUUUUUUGCCACACUUUUUUCCUUCCCACAGACUUCCCACUGAGGUGCCUUGAUACAGCACUCUGGGAACAGCCUAUUCGUUCAGAAAUUUCUUUCUGUGUCUUACCCUCUCGCUUGAGGGUGUCAAUGAUGGCCUUCUGGACAGCAGUCAAGUCGGCAGUCUUACCCAUGAUUGCGGUUUUGAGUAAUGAACCAGGCUGGGAGUUUUUAAAAGCCUCAGGAAUCUUUUGCAGGUGUUUAGAGUUAAUUAGUUGAUUCAGAUGAUUAGGUUAAUAGCUCGUUUAGAGAAUCUUUUCAUGAUAUGCUAAUUUUUUGAGAUAGGAAUUUUGGGUUUUCAUGAGCUGUAUGCCAAAAUCAUCAGUAUUAAAACAAUAAAAGACCUGAAAUAUUUCAGUUGGUGUGCAAUGAAUCUAAAAUAUAUGAAAGUUUAAUUUUUAUCAUUACAUUAUGGAAAGUAAUGAACUUUUUCACAAUAUGCUAAUUUUUUGAGAAGGACCUGUAUUUGUCUUGCUCUGCUUAUCCAUUUCACUGAUGAGUGUUUUGUCUCUCUAUAAUCUAACAAAGUAUUUUGCAGUUUACUGUAAAACGCAGUUGAUUUAUUCAAAUGGCUGAUUGCAUAGACUCAUUUGUUUUUAUAUCCUAAGUGAAUUCUGCAUAUAAUCUUAUGUGAUAUGUGAUUACAUAAAAAUGAAAUGUAUUUGGUGUAGGUCUAGUGAGACAUUGAAUUAUUUGAAUGUUCUGGGUUCAGCUUUCUUAUCAUUUCCAGUUUAUUGUUGCAGAAAAGAAUGCAUCACAUGAUAAAGAUGUAAAAUUUACAUUCUUUAACAUCUUCAAGGGUGAGUGAUGUAAGCUGGCGUGAAUCUCUAUACCAGCAGUUUUAACUUGUGUUAGUGACCUUGUGAACUUUUUGGCUUCAUUGUCGACAGCAAUAUCUGAAAGUUUAAAAUGUCUAUAAAUAAUUGACUCAUGGUAUAUUUUAAAUAAUAAAAAAUAAAUAUAUAAACUACAUCUAUAAUUACACAUGCACACACACCCACCCACCCACACACACACACACAUACAUACACACAUACAUACACACACAUACAGUGGUGUGAAAAAGUGCUGUUUUUGUCACACUUUAAUGUUUCAGAUCAUCAAAGAAAAUUUUAAUAUUAGUCAAAGAUAACACAAGUAAACACAACAUGCAGUUUUUAAAUGAAGGUUUUUAUUAUUAAGGGAAACAAAAUCCAAAACUACAUGGCCCUGUGUGAAGAAGUGUUUGCCCCGCUGUUAAAACUGUGGUUUAUCACACCUGAGUUCAAUUUCUCUAGCCACACCCAGGCCUGAUUACUGCCACACCUGUUCGCAAUCAAUAAAUCUCUUAAAUAAGACCUGUCUGAAGUGAAGUAGACCAUAAG